rfam:Ruminococcus albus 7 plasmid pRTMAL01, complete sequence.
GGCUGCAUCGUCUAAUGGUCAGGACACAAGGUUUUCAACCUUGAAACGUGGGUUCAACUCCCACUGCGGUCA